rnacentral:rRNA from 1 species
AGAGUUUGAUCCUGGCUCAGGACGAACGCUGGCGGCGUGCUUAACACAUGCAAGUCGAACGAUGAACCACUUCGGUGGGGAUUAGUGGCGAACGGGUGAGUAACACGUGGGCAAUCUGCUCUUCACUCUGGGACAAGCCCUGGAAACGGGGUCUAAUACCGGAUACGACCACUACGGGCAUCCGUGGUGGUGGAAAGCUCCGGCGGUGAAGGAUGAGCCCGCGGCCUAUCAGCUUGUUGGUGAGGUAAUGGCUCACCAAGGCGACGACGGGUAGCCGGCCUGAGAGGGCGACCGGCCACACUGGGACUGAGACACGGCCCAGACUCCUACGGGAGGCAGCAGUGGGGAAUAUUGCACAAUGGGCGAAAGCCUGAUGCAGCGACGCCGCGUGGAGGUAGAAGGCCCACGGGUCGUGAACUUCUUUUCCCGGAGAAGAAGCAAUGACGGUAUCUGGGGAAUAAGCAUGCGGCUAACUCUGUGCCAGCAGCCGCGGUAAUAAU